GACGUAGGAGGCGAGCGUUAUCCGGAUUCACUGGGCGUAAAGCGCAUGUAGGCGGAUGUGUAAGUCAGUUGUUAAAGCCCCUGGCUCAACUGGGGGAGGUCAAUUGAGACUGCACGUCUUGAGGGCAACAGAGGCACGUGGAACUCCCGGUGUAGCGGUGGAAUGCGUAGAGAUCGGGAAGAACACCAGUGGCGAAGGCGGCGUGCUGGGUUGCGACUGACGCUGAGAUGCGAAAGUGUGGGGAGCAAACGGG
rnacentral:rRNA from 1 species